GUUGUUUACAAACUCAAUAUUCAACAAAAUCUGAGAGCAGACCUUCCCAGCAAGGAGCAGAAUCAGAUAGCGUCUGACCUGUCACUUCCUCCUCCUCUUCUCAGAAGCUGGAAGACUGCAGUUCCUGGCUCCCACAUCCUCAUCUCUACUCAGAUAUGUGCAUCAACUAUUGAUAAUUAUAAGAAGUCCAGGGUUCUUCAGGUGAAUUCCAGUAAGGUUGUGAUGGCUCCUAAACCGUGCCCUGACUAUCUGAAGAGGAACUAUCCUAGAACAAUUAUUAGGAGCUCAGUGUACACUUCCCCUG
ensembl:lncRNA